rnacentral:lncRNA from 1 species
CUGGAGUAGAGGAAGAUUUAAAGCAGUAGAUCCCUAACACCCGCCCCACUUUCCCAACAGGUGGAAUUUGCAGCUUUCACCCAUGGCAUCCGAGGGCAGCUGAUGUUGCCACAGCUUCUGAAGUCAGCCCUCCGUCCACCACGCCUUCCUACAUCAGCUCCAUCUGCGUUCUAGUCACUCAACCUACCCCAGACUUGCAAGGGAGGAGUCAGCAAGCCCAGAGCCUCAACUUUCAGGAGGAGAUGCUGAAUGUAAUGAACUCGGUUUACAUUUCAGGGCUGCAAUUCCUCUUACCUUUCACGUGAACUCACAGGCGGAUUAAACCGAAAUAAAACCUACCAUCGGAC